GGUGCCUUGAGAGAUUAACCCUGUUCUGCUGUGAUGUAAUCAGUCAGCAUGGCGUUCAGGGCUGGCUGAGAGUGGUGAUCUGACAGCCAGUCACUGUUGAACUCCGCAGCUUUGCGGUGGCUGGAAGCACGUCACUGGGCCACAAGGGCGCGUAGGAGCAGGGACACGUGUUUAAAAAUAUUUUGCCCCAUGGCUGGAGAAUUGGGCCAUGGUACUGGGGUAUAUGGUACAGCGGAGCGUAGUGGUUAUGGUACUUGGAG